GCUCGGAAUUACUGGGCGUAAAGCGCACGUAGGCGGUCUUUUAAGUCGGUGGUGAAAUCCUGGAGCUCAACUCCAGAACUGCCUUCGAUACUGGAAGACUUGAGUCCGGGAGAGGUGAGUGGAACUGCGAGUGUAGAGGUGAAAUUCGUAGAUAUUCGCAAGAACACCAGUGGCGAAGGCGGCUCACUGGCCCGGUACUGACGCUGAGGUGCGAAAGCGUGGGGAGCAAACAGG
rnacentral:rRNA from 1 species